GGUGCUCGUAGAGCUUAAUAGGGAAUCCGGUGAAGAAGCCGGAGCGGUCCCGCCACUGUAGGGUGGAGCUUUGCACAUUAUGUCACUGGGGUAGAUAUGCGUACCUUGGGAAGGCGUGCAUGGUGAUGAAACCGAGUCAGGAGAACUGCCUGUUUUA
rnacentral:ncRNA from 1 species